AGAGAUCAAGAAAAGAAGUGGAAUAAUCCCCUCUAAUCUGAUUCCUUGGGAGAGGCCCAAGAGCAUCAGCCUUAAGGUCAAGUGGCAACAGGUGACAUCUUAGAUGUCCUCACAUCUUAUUGUCCCACUGAUGAAGAUGGAUCACUCUUCGGCACUGACUCUUGAUCCUUGUGUACAACCUACACAUGACAGGAAGAGUCUCACAGAUAAGAAAAACUCCAGCUUCUUGGGCUCAGACUAUGAAAAUGCCUGCAGGGUCAUGAUUUAUGUGAAGAUGAGUAAGGUACAUUUACUGC
ensembl:antisense Gm29626 predicted gene 29626